AGAGUUCGCCGGGCGGCCGCGGCACGGGGCCUCGGUUCCGGGUCGAGGAAAGUCCGGACUCCACAGGGCACGGUGCUGGGUAAUCCCCAGGCGGGGCAACCCGACGGAAAGUGCAGCAGAGAGCAGACCGCCGAUGGCCUUCGGGCACAGGCAAGGGUGAAACGGUGGUGUAAGAGACCACCAGCGGCGCGGGCAACCGCGUCGGCUCGGCAAACCCCACCGGGAGCAAGGCCACGCAGGGACAGGGCGGCCCGCCCGCCACAGUCCCGGGUGGGCCGCUCGAGCCCGCCGGUGACGGCGGGCCCAGAUAGAUGGCCGCCGCCGGCCUU
rnacentral:RNase_P_RNA from 1 species